UGAGUGUCACAGCACGUGGCGGCUCGGCGUGGUGGUGGUGGUGGUGGUGAUCGCGGUAGUGGCGGUGGUUGUGGAGGUGGUGAGCGUGAGCUUGUUCGCGAACGAUUGCUUUGUUUUGUGCGCUCGCAUUUCUCUCAACUCCGGCCUCGCUCUCUCGUCUUUUGCAACAACAACGGACAACAAUACUGGGGGAUUUCGGCGCUCGGCUCUCGACCCUCUGCGAUUUUAGCGUUUAGCCGCGCGCGCGGCGUGUUAAUUGAUUAGUCAACAUCGAUUUCGACACAAGCACAAUCCGACAAUGCGCGAGCACGACACAACGAGCACAACUCUAUCACACACCUAGAAAAAACACACAGACGUUAUUUCCGCUUGUCGCUGGUGGGCUUACCGGAAUGCCGCCGCUCUCCACCUGUUGGAUUAGGGAUCGGCACCAGGCUCAGCUUGCGCGACGUCCUGUAGAGGUUCUCCUGCUCCGAGCGAUUCAUAUCGCCGAAGAGCAUCACCAACGACGAGACCAUCUGAGCGAGCGGGAUUCGCGAAUAGUGCGCAAUAUCAUUGCAAGCGCACAAGUAUCAAAUAAUUCACCUUCAAUAUUUCCCUUUAUAUUCUCUCACAAACAUUGUUUUGAUGUUCCUGUGACUUGUCAGUCAGGAUAAUGAAUUCGGGCCUUGCUUCUACAUAAUUAAAAUGUGUUACGCCCUCG